UCACUGCUUGCGCAGGCAGUCUCUCUAGAGUCCCCACCAUGACGUGCUGGCAACUAAAGAUAGGGGUUGCGCUCGUUGCGGGACUUAACCCAACACCUCACGGCGCGAGCUGACGACAGCCAUGCAGCACCUCUACUCGCUCCCUUGCGGGUCGUUCCACUUUCAUGGUUCUACCACUUGCAUGUCAAGGCCAGGUAAGGUUCUUCGCGUUGCAUCGAAUUAAGCCACAUACUCCACCGCUUGUGCAGGCCCCCGUCAAUUUCUUUGAGUUUUAAUCUUGCGACCGUACUUCCCAGGCGGCUUGCUUAUCGCGUUAGCUUCGCCACAAAAGGGGUCGAUUCCUUUUACAGCAAGCAAGCACCGUUUACGGCUAGGACUAC
rnacentral:misc_RNA from 1 species